rnacentral:tRNA from 1 species
GGGGAUUUAGCUCAGUGGUAGAGCGCUUGCCUAGUAUUUGCAAGGCCUUGGGUUCAGUCCUCA